rnacentral:rRNA from 1 species
UGCAAGUCGAGCGGCAGCACGGGGAGCUUGCUCCCUGGUGGCGAGCGGCGGACGGGUGAGUAAUGCAUAGGAAUCUGCCCGGUAGUGGGGGAUAACGUGGGGAAACCCACGCUAAUACCGCAUACGUCCUACGGGAGAAAGCAGGGGAUCUUCGGACCUUGCGCUAUCGGAUGAGCCUAUGUCGGAUUAGCUAGUUGGUAAGGUAACGGCUUACCAAGGCAACGAUCCGUAGCUGGUCUGAGAGGAUGAUCAGCCACACUGGGACUGAGACACGGCCCAGACUCCUACGGGAGGCAGCAGUGGGGAAUAUUGGACAAUGGGCGAAAGCCUGAUCCAGCCAUGCCGCGUGUGUGAAGAAGGCUUUCGGGUUGUAAAGCACUUUCAGCGAGGAAGAAAGCCUCUGGGCCAAUACCCCAGAGGAAGGACAUCACUCGCAGAAGAAGCACCGGCUAACUCCGUGCCAGCAGCCGCGGUAAUACGGAGGGUGCGAGCGUUAAUCGGAAUUACUGGGCGUAAAGCGCGCGUAGGUGGCUUGGCACGCCGGUUGUGAAAGCCCCGGGCUCAACCUGGGAACUGCAUCCGGAACGGCCAGGCUAGAGUGCAGGAGAGGAAGGUAGAAUUCCCGGUGUAGCGGUGAAAUGCGUAGAGAUC